GACGAACGCUGGCGGCGUGCCUAAUACAUGCAAGUCGAGCGAAUCGACAGGUGCUUGCACCUGUUGGUUAGCGGCGGACGGGUGAGUAACACGUGGGCAACCUGCCUGUAAGACUGGGAUAACUUCGGGAAACCGGAGCUAAUACCGGAUAAUCCUUUUCCUCUCAUGAGGAAAAGCUGAAAGUCGGUUUACGCUGACACUUACAGAUGGGCCCGCGGCGCAUUAGCUAGUUGGUGAGGUAAAGGCUCACCAAGGCGACGAUGCGUAGCCGACCUGAGAGGGUGAGCGGCCACACUGGGACUGAGACACGGCCCAGACUCCUACGGGAGGCAGCAGUAGGGAAUCUUCCGCAAUGGACGAAAGUCUGACGGAGCAACGCCGCGUGAGCGAUGAAGGCCUUCGGGUCGUAAAGCUCUGUUGUUAGGGAAGAACAAGUAUCGGAGUAACUGCCGGUACCUUGACGGUACCUAACCAGAAAGCCACGGCUAACUACGUGCCAGCCGCCGCCGUAAUAC
rnacentral:rRNA from 1 species